rnacentral:rRNA from 1 species
AUACGUAGGGUGCAAGCGUUAAUCGGAAUUACUGGGCGUAAAGCGUGCGCAGGCGGUUUUGUAAGACAGUGGUGAAAUCCCCGGGCUCAACCUGGGAACUGCCUUUGUGACUGCAAGGCUAGAGUACGGCAGAGGGGGAUGGAAUUCCGCGUGUAGCAGUGAAAUGCGUAGAUAUGCGGAGGAACACCGAUGGCGAAGGCAAUCCCCUGGGCCUGUACUGACGCUCAUGCACGAAAGCGUGGGGAGCAAACAGGAUUAGAGACCCUGGUAGUCCACGCCCUAAACGAUGUCAACUGGUUGUUGGGUCUUCAUUGACUCAGUAACGAAGCUAACGCGUGAAGUUGACCGCCUGGGGAGUACGGCCGCAAGGUUGAAACUCAAAGGAAUUGACGGGG